GAGCCUGAUGAACCGAGGGACUGACCAAGGAUAGCGGACAGCUGGCGGAAGUCGGCCAAUAAGAACAUCGCCCGCGAGCAAAGGAGGCGGGCCGCGAGGAACGAUAGCGAGUUUAGCCAAUGGAUGGAAAGAUUGGAGGCUGUGCUGGGUUUCCCGCCCUUUCUCCGCGACCGCUCUCAGGUGGUUUGGGAAGGAAACAGCUAUCGCUGUCGCUUCUGCUGGUGGCUUUUCACAGAUUCCGAGGAUUUCUCCGUGCUAGCCGGGACUCGCUCUGCGGCGGGCACUGUUCCCAGGCCUGGCGGCCCUUCCCUUCGGCGUCUUCCGCUGGCGUUAGUUUCAUGCUUUGGCCGCUCCGGGCAGCAUUUCGGGUGCGGGGAGCCAACCGUCCCCGCGGAGAUUUCGUUCUGGCGGGAUUUUCCCAGGCUGGCAUUUCAGAAGUAUCACCAGGUGGGCAGAUCCUGUCCCAAAGUGUGAAUUCUCUUACUUCUGACACGGAGGAAGCAACAUGGGGGACUCCGAGUCUUUGAGGAAAUGUAACUUGAGUAAUUGGAGGAAAGGAAGCGGAUGAACUUCUAUUUAAGUUUGGAAAAAUACAAGUGAAAGUGUAGACGAGCGUGAGGAAGGAGGGGCCAGUGAAAUUGCAGGCUUGGAGCAGUGUGCCCAGAUAAACGGAAAAGCUGAAAGCUAGGUAGAAGAGUUAGGAGUUAAUUCAGUAAGCGAUAGUCAUUAACAAUGUCUAUUGCUUAUCGCUGCCCCUCCUUUUGUGUUUCUGCCCUUAGUGAAUGGCAUUACAAGUCUGCCAGAGCAGCCACCUGUGAGUUCACCUUCCACAAAUCACCUAGUACCUACUGUUUGGAAGCACCGUGCUAGGUACUGGGGUUUCAGAGGUUGGCAAAGUAGACCUGUCCCUGUCGUCACUGCCCUUUACAGCAGGGAUCAGAUAGUAAAGAAGUAAAUGUACAUAGAAGGAAAAGAAAAGGGUGCUUUGAGAGAGAAGCAGAGGGAAUGUAAUUUAGAUAGGGUGUAAUUUAGCAGAGUGCAAUUGCACGAAGAAAGCAAAUAUAAAGGCUCUUGAAGUGAGAAGGAUUUGUAAGAAGGGACUUAGAGCAGGCUAGUGUGGCUGCUGCAGUUCUGACUAGAUCCUUCUGUUUCCUGAAUAGCAAAUCUGGCUUUUUUUUUUUUUU